rnacentral:rRNA from 1 species
AGAGUUUGAUUCUGGCUCAGGAUGAACGCUAGCUACAGGCUUAACACAUGCAAGUCGAGGGGCAGCAUGGUCUUAGCUUGCUAAGGCUGAUGGCGACCGGCGCACGGGUGAGUAACACGUAUCCAACCUGCCGUCUACUCUUGGCCAGCCUUCUGAAAGGAAGAUUAAUCCAGGAUGGGAUCAUGAGUUCACAUGUCCGCAUGAUUAAAGGUAUUUUCCGGUAGACGAUGGGGAUGCGUUCCAUUAGAUAGUAGGCGGGGUAACGGCCCACCUAGUCAACGAUGGAUAGGGGUUCUGAGAGGAAGGUCCCCCACAUUGGAACUGAGACACGGUCCAAACUCCUACGGGAGGCAGCAGUGAGGAAUAUUGGUCAAUGGGCGAUGGCCUGAACCAGCCAAGUAGCGUGAAGGAUGACUGCCCUAUGGGUUGUAAACUUCUUUUAUAAAGGAAUAAAGUCGGGUAUGCAUACCCGUUUGCAUGUACUUUAUGAAUAAGGAUCGGCUAACUCCGUGCCAGCAGCCGCGGUAAUACGGAGGAUCCGAGCGUUAUCCGGAUUUAUUGGGUUUAAAGGGAGCGUAGAUGGAUGUUUAAGUCAGUUGUGAAAGUUUGCGGCUCAACCGUAAAAUUGCAGUUGAUACUGGAUGUCUUGAGUGCAGUUGAGGCAGGCGGAAUUCGUGGUGUAGCGGUGAAAUGCUUAGAUAUCACGAAGAACUCCGAUUGCGAAGGCAGCCUGCUAAGCUGCAACUGACAUUGAGGCUCGAAAGUGUGGGUAUCAAACAGGAUUAGAUACCCUGGUAGUCCACACGGUAAACGA